CCUACGGGUGGCAGCAGUAGGGAAUCUUUCACAAUGGGCGAAAGCCUGAUGGAGCAACGCCGCGUGCAGGAUGAAGUCCUUCGGGUUGUAAACUGCUUUUAUAAGCGAGAAAUAUGAUGGUAACUUAUGAAUAAGGAUCGGCUAAAUACGUGCCAGCAGCCGCGGUCAUACUUAGGAUCCGAGCAUUAUCCGGAGUGACUGGGUGUAAAGAGUUGCGGAGGUGGGAUAAUAAGUAGCUAGGGAAAUCUGGUGGCUCAACCAUUCAGACUAUUAGCUAAACUGUAAAGCUCGAGAGCGUUAGGGGUAACUGGAAUUUCUAGUGUAGGAGUGAAAUGCGUAGAUAUUAGAAGGAACACCAAUAGCGUAGGCAGGUUACUGGGACGGUUCUGACACUAAGGCACGAAAGCGUAGGGAGCAAACGGGAUUAGAUACCCGGGUAGUC
rnacentral:rRNA from 1 species